GUGACCUCGGAUCGGUAGCUCUACAUA
rnacentral:rRNA from 1 species